CAACCAGACUCCUACGGGAGGCAGCAGUGGGGAAUAUUGCACAAUGGGGGAAACCCUGAUGCAGCAACGCCGCGUGAGUGAAGAAGUCUUUCGGUAUGUAAAGCUCUAUCAGCAGGGAAGAAAAUGACGGUACCUGAGUAAGAAGCCCCGGCUAACUACGUGCCAGCAGCCGCGGUAAUACGUAGGGGGCAAGCGUUAUCCGGAUUUACUGGGUGUAAAGGGAGCGUAGACGGCUGUGCAAGUCUGAAGUGAAAGGCAAGGGCUCAACCUUUGGACUGCUUUGGAAACUGUAUGGCUGGAGUGCAGGAGAGGUAAGUGGAAUUCCUAGUGUAGCGGUGAAAUGCGUAGAUAUUAGGAGGAACACCAGUGGCGAAGGCGGCUUACUGGACUGUAACUGACGUUGAGGCUCGAAAGCGUGGGGAGCAAACAGGAUUAGAUACCCGCGUAC
rnacentral:rRNA from 1 species